GACGAACGCUGGCGGCGUGCUUAACACAUGCAAGUCGAACGGUAAGGCCCCUUCGGGGGUACACGAGUGGCGAACGGGUGAGUAACACGUGAGCAACCUGCCCUUGACUCUGGAAUAACAGUUGGAAACAGCUGCUAAUACUGGAUAUUCAUCGUCUCCUUCCUGGGGGGUGGUGGAAAGCUCCGGCGGUCAGGGAUGGGCUCGCGGCCUAUCAGCUUGUUGGUGAGGUAAUGGCUCACCAAGGCUUCGACGGGUAGCCGGCCUGAGAGGGCGACCGGCCACACUGGGACUGAGAUACGGCCCAGACUCCUACGGGAGGCAGCAGUGGGGAAUAUUGCACAAUGGGCGCAAGCCUGAUGCAGCAACGCCGCGUGCGGGAUGACAGCCUUCGGGUUGUAAACCGCUUUCAGUAGGGACGAAGGGUGACUGACGGUACCUACAGAAGAAGGACCGGCUAACUACGUG
rnacentral:rRNA from 1 species